rnacentral:rRNA from 1 species
AUGAACGCUGGCGGCGUGCCUAAUCCAUGCCAGUCGAGCGAACAGACGAGGAGCUUGCUCCUCUGACGUUAGCGGCGGACGGGUGAGUAACACGUGGAUAACCUACCUAUAAGACUGGGAUAACUUCGGGAAACCGGAGCUAAUACCGGAUAAUAUAUUGAACCGCAUGGUUCAAUAGUGAAAGACGGUUUUGCUGUCACUUAUAGAUGGAUCCGCGCCGCAUUAGCUAGUUGGUAAGGUAACGGCUUACCAAGGCAACGAUGCGUAGCCGACCUGAGAGGGUGAUCGGCCACACUGGAACUGAGACACGGUCUAGACUCCUACGGGAGGCAGCAGUAGGGAAUCUUCCGCAAUGGGCGAAAGCCUGACGGAGCAACGCCGCGUGAGUGAUGAAGGUCUUCGGAUCGUAAAACUCUGUUAUUAGGGAAGAACAAAUGUGUAAGUAACUAUGCACGUCUUGACGGUACCUAAUCAGAAAGCCACGGCUAACUACGUG